UGAGUAAAUCGUUUCCAGACUAUCCUUUUUCUCUGACAACCCCUGCUUAUACAUGGCUUUGGUAGCACCAAAAAGUAAGCUGUUCAAAGAAAAUAACUUCAGUUGCUUCUUAAAGAAAAAUAUCAAGCUUUCCAGGUUAGCCACUCUAUCCCUCAUCCUCUGUCUCUGUGAGCUUGUGACAAUGGUAGUUGUAUCACUUCAAAGCAUUCUUGGAAAUGCAUUCUGGUAUGUUCUUACAAAUUAUUUUUGAGAAGUAAUAACCUAGCCACAAACAAAAGUACAACCUAAAUGGAAGAAAAUGCCGACAGCAUUGAGCUAGGCAUUGAAUGAAAAGGACUACUAGGAGG
rnacentral:misc_RNA from 1 species